UCGCCGUUGGCUAGUGUUAGGGUCACUACCCAACCCGCGUCCGGGCAAGCGUCAUUGGACCAUGGGAGCGAGACUCGCUGGCGUUUCACACAAUGUGAUGAAUGGUAACGCCUUUCCUCCAAUCAACGCAUUCGGUAGGCCCUACCAGCUGGGUCGGUGGCAGGCUCGUAGGUGAUGGGCUUGUCAGCGAUGAAUGAUAAAUAGAAAACAGCUUCAUCGCGACUGACGGAAGCUGCGAAGGUUCUCCUUUAUUUCGGCUUUUAGUUUCAAGUAUUUAAAAAACUACGAAGACCUCGUUCUCUACGGAACAACGUUAUAAUCUCUCUCUCUCUCUCUCUCUCUCUCUCUCAGAAGCAUUUCUAGGGUUUCUCUUUCUUUCCUUCUCUCUUUCUCUCCAUAAAUCUGCAAGCUCUCUACUUCCAAUGAAAUAUUUCAGCUGAGGAAGAUGAAAGAUCGGUAGGAAGAGGAGCUUAUCUAGCUCCGGAUCAGAAGAAACGGUUCUAUCUUAGAAAAAUCAGCUCAAAAUAGGUUUUCCAUCCUUGAAGUUGUUUGGAUGCAAAGGGAUUUUAUAUUUCCAAGUGGGAGCAGAUUAUCGAUAGUCUCCUUGUAGCUGUUCCUCAGAAACCCAGUAAAUUCAGCUUCCUUUCCUUUGUUUAGGUUUUGGUGGAAUUUUGGAGAACUUUGUUUUUAUCUAAUUCUUUGUUUCCAAGUUGUCUGGCUUGAAUAGAUACGAGGAUUUGUCCCUGACACCAUGUAAAAUGUAUAGACCAUCAUCCUCUUUCUCAAAGUAGUAUCUUUUGAAAAUUUGAAUUCUCUGACACUGACCGAGCUGCAGUAGGCGGUUGUGGAACAUGAGUUCUAGGAAAUGGUGGAAUUACCUUCAUUUUCAGAUAACUGUGAACUACUUGCUAAAUUACUAUUUUACCAAAUGUUGAGAAACUACAGUAUUAUUUAUGCUUUUAGGUCUCUUCAAAACAAUGUUGUUUUCUGUUUUAUAAUCUAAUUUUUUAUUUUUAUUUUUUUUGAAAGACUAGAUUGCAUUAAGGGAAAAGAGGAGAGCAAAAGAGAGGAGACUGGGCGGCUGAGAUGGCCCAGCCAGUUAGGCUCUCCAAUUGUGAUAUUUCCUGUGCAAAUAUCUCUCUCUCUCUCUCUCUCUCACACACACACACACACACACAAUUUUUAUGAUAUUGGCUAUUUCUAAAGGGCACGCUCCAACGGUACCAGUACCACCAUAAGCUUUCCGUGGUACCAGGCUGAUGUGGGGCCCAUGUGAUGUAAUCAUCCAACCCAUUUAUCAGAUGCUCCGAUUGAGAAGCUUGAGCUUCUGCAAACUAAGUUCUCCCUUUUCUAAUUGGCAAUAUCAUUCCAUUAAAGAAGAAGCCUAUGGGUGUGUUUGGUUGUAGCAAAUAUCACUAAAUUUCAUGAUUGAUCGGUCAAAAUUUCAUGAUAUUUGGUGCAACCGGACCCUUCCUACAAGAAAUUAUGAGCUAAUACUCACAGCAUUGGCUCCCAUAAAAAAAGUGGAUGACAUUACUGUUUAAGCUUUAAUCUUUUUGUCAUACGCAUAAUAGUUUCUGAAUGUAAAUACUGAAAUCUAUUCUCCUUAGUUCUUUUUUUAUUUUGAGAACUCCAUACCUCAUUUGGAUGUGUGGAAAGCUACACUUGAAACAUGGAUGUUCAUGUUCAAGGCAGCUUUCCAGCAUUUGGAUGAAGCAUUCACUUAAGAUAGGUGCCCAUUGGGCAGGGAUGUCUGCACAAUUGAAUGUGGAAGGCCAGAAGCUUUCCAUGGACAAGGGCUUCCUCUUACUCCUCUUCCCUGCUGCAACUGUACUCUUGCAGAUGCAACCCAGCAUUAUUUGACAUGGGAGGAAGCAUGUUAACAUUUCAGGAUCUAGCACUUGAGUGCCAUGUUGGUGCAUACCAUGGCUCAAUAUACGCUCAUGGAGUCAUGGUACACUUUUCCAUGAGGCAUUAUACGAACACAAAAUCUCAACAUCCAUGGAACACAGUCACUGCAUCCAAACACAAAAUCUCAACAUCCACUGAAUUCCAUUUCCAAGACACCUUUGUCCAUGGAUAUCAACUUCCCCUUGCAAAAUUUGAUCCACUUAUCCGAAGGACCCCAGAGUUUAUGACUGACUCAUCCUGGGAAUCUUAAAGAUACUUUUUUU